rnacentral:rRNA from 1 species
CCUACGGGGUGCAGCAGUGAGGAAUAUUGGUCAAUGGGCGUAAGCCUGAACCAGCCAAGUCGCGUGAGGGAUGAAGGUUCUAUGGAUCGUAAACCUCUUUUAUAAGGGAAUAAAGUGCGGGACGUGUCCCGUUUUGUAUGUACCUUAUGAAUAAGGCUCGGCUAACUCCGUGCCAGCAGCCGCGGUAAUACGGAGGAUCCGAGCGUUAUCCGGAUUUAUUGGAGUUAAAGGGUGCGUAGGUUGCCUUUUAAGUCAGCGGUGAAAGUCUGUGGCUCAACCAUAGAAUCGCCGUUGAAACUGGGAGGCUUGAGUAUGAUAGAGGCAGGCGGAAUGCGUGGUGUAGCGGUGAAAUGCUUAGAUAUCACGCAGAACCCCGAUUGCGAAGGCAGCCUGCCAAGCCAAGACUGACGCUGAUGAACGAAAGCGUGGGGAUCAAACAGGAUUAGAUACCCUUGUAGUC